rnacentral:rRNA from 1 species
GAUGAACGCUAGCGGAAGGCUUAAUACAUGCAAGUCGAGCGGUAGAGUGACUUCGGUUGCUUGAGAGCGGCGCACGGGUGAGUAACGCGUACAUGACCUACCUCUAAGAACGGGAUAGCCCUGGGAAACUGGGAUUAAUAUCGUAUGUGAUAAUAUGUAUAAAUGUAUAUUAUUAAAGCUGAGGCGCUUAGAGAUGGGUGUGCGUCUGAUUAGCUAGUUGGUAGGGUAAGGGCCUACCAAGGCUACGAUCAGUAGGGGGCGUGAGAGCGUGAUCCCCCACACGGGUACUGAGACACGGACCCGACUCCUACGGGAGGCAGCAGUAGGGAAUAUUGGUCAAUGGACGAAAGUCUGAACCAGCCAUUCCGCGUGCAGGAUGACGGUCCUAUGGAUUGUAAACUGCUUUUAGCAGAGAAGAAACGCCUUCAUUAAUGAGGGUCUGACGGUAUCUGCGGAAUAAGCACCGGCUAACUCCGUGCCAGCAGCCGCGGUAAUACGGGGGGUGCAAGCGUUAUCCGGAAUCACUGGGUUUAAAGGGUGCGUAGGCGGGACAUUAAGUCAGUGGUGAAAGUCUGUUGCUUAACAAUAGAAUUGCCGUUGAUACUGGUGUUCUUGAAUUGGGUUGAGGUUAGCGGAAUGUG